AAUUGUCAAACUGGGAUGCUUUUUGUGUCUCGGCUUGGUAUUGGGCUUUGCAGUUCCUUUGAUUGGGAUGGCUGGCCUGAAAAGCAUUAGCUGGCUUUUGAUGUGGGGAUUGGUUCUACUCAGCGUGAUAAUGAUAUGACCGCCGAGGACAUCUUUCGAGAUGGCCAAUUGUCAUUUAGGCUGCUUCUAAUUUUGGUUGAGGAGAUACUGAUCACAUCUGCUCGACUUUUGAAC
rnacentral:misc_RNA from 1 species